UACGUAGGGUCCGAGCGUUGUCCGGAAUUACUGGGCGUAAAGAGCUCGUAGGUGGUUUGUCGCGUUGUUCGUGAAAACUCACAGCUUAACUGUGGGCGUGCGGGCGAUACGGGCAGACUUGAGUACUGCAGGGGGAGACUGGAAUUCCUGGUGUAGCGGUGGAAUGCGCAGAUAUCGGGAGGAACACCAGUGGCGAAGGCG
rnacentral:rRNA from 1 species